rnacentral:rRNA from 1 species
GACGAACGCUGGCGGCGUGCUUAACACAUGCAAGUCGAACGGAAAGGCCCUGCUUUUGUGGGGUGCUCGAGUGGCGAACGGGUGAGUAACACGUGAGUAACCUGCCCUUGACUUUGGGAUAACUUCAGGAAACUGGGGCUAAUACCGGAUAGGAGCUCCUGCUGCAUGGUGGGGGUUGGAAAGUUUCGGCGGUUGGGGAUGGACUCGCGGCUUAUCAGCUUGUUGGUGGGGUAGUGGCUUACCAAGGCUUUGACGGGUAGCCGGCCUGAGAGGGUGACCGGCCAAAUGGGAAUGGGGAAACGGCCCAGACUCCUAGGGGGGGCAGAGGGGGGGAAUAUGGCACAAGGGCCGAAGGCCUGAGGCAGAAACGCGGGGGGGGGGAGGAGGGCCUUCGGUUGUAAACCGCUUUCGCCUGUGACGAAGCGUGAGUGACGGUAAUGGGUAAAGAAGCACCGGCUAACUACGUG